AUAAAGGUCUAGUAGUGAUGCA
rnacentral:miRNA from 1 species